UACGGAGGGGUGCGACGUUGUUCGGAAUUACUGGGCGUAAAGCGCGCGUAGGCGGACCUGCAAGUCGGGGGUGAAAGCCCGAGGCUCAACCUCGGAACUGCCUUCGAUACUGCGGGUCUCGAGUCCGGGAGAGGUGAGUGGAAUUCCUAGUGUAGAGGUGAAAUUCGUAGAUAUUAGGAAGAACACCAGUGGCGAAGGCGGCUCACUGGCCCGGUACUGACGCUGAGGCGCGAAAGCGUGGGGAGCAAACAGGG
rnacentral:rRNA from 1 species